rnacentral:lncRNA from 1 species
GGAUGGUGAACGCGGCUCUGGGCGCAGCGUUGGGCCGCAUCCACGCCUUGGAGCAGCGCACGCUCACCCCGAGCAGUGGGCGGCCGAGAGGGGGGCGGGGACACGCUGAGACACGCCCCCGUGACGUCACUUCCGGUCACCUGCUGCUGGGGGGGGGGUGGGGGCAGAGGAAGGACCCCCCCCCCCAUUUACCCCCAUUGGUCCCUAUGGACUCCCAUUGAUCCCCAUUGAUCCCCAUUGGCCCCCAUUGAUUCCCAUUGAUCCCCAUUGAUUCCCAUUGGCUCCCACUGAUCCCUAUUGGCUCCUAUGGACUUCUAUAGACCCCCAUUGGCCCCCAUUGAUCCCCAUUGAUCCCCAUGGACCCUCAUUGAUCCCUAUUGGCCCCCAUUGAUCCCUAUUGGCCCCUAUGGACUCCUAUAGACCCCCAUUGGCCCCCAUUGGCCCCCAUAGACUGCUAUAGAUCCCCAUUGGCCCCCAUUGGCCCCCAUUGAUCCCCAUUGAUCCCCAUUGGCCCCCAUUGAUUCCCAUUGGCUCCCAUUAAUCCCUAUUGGCCCUUAUGGACUUCUAUAGAUCCCUAUUGGCCCCCAUUGGCCCCCAUUGAUUCCCAUUGGCUCCCAUUGAUCCCUAUUGGCCCCUAUGGACUCCUAUAGACCCCCAUUGGCCCCCAUUGGCCCCCAUGGACUCCUAUAGACCCCCAUUGGCCCCCGUUGACCACCACUGACUUCUAUAGACCCCCAUUGAUCCCCACUGGCCCCCGUUGACCCCCAUUGCCCCCCAUUGGCCACCUUCAAUCCCUAUUGGCCCCCAUUGGCCCCCAUGGACUCCCAUUGAUCCCCAUUGACCCCCAUUGAUCCCCACCGAGCCCCAUUCCCUUCCCCCUAUUACAACCCGCAACCUUUAUUAUCCUUGCCUGGCCUUAAUUAGGCCCGCCCUAAUUAGGAGCCCUUGUUAAAUUACAGCGCCCCGAUUGUGUUAAUUAGGAAGCCCCUUUCGGCCAUUGGGGUCAGUGGGAGGGGCGUGGCCUGGGGGAAGGGGGCGUGGCUACAGGAUGACCACGCCCCUCCCACGGGCCAACCAACUGGCCACGACCCUCACACGUGACCACGCCCCCCGCGUAGCCCCGCCCCCUGACCUUAACCCCACCCCGUGACCCCGCCCCCUUCCCAGGCCACGCCCCUCCGUGUGACCUCGCCCCUUCCCAUUGGUUUACGGUGGGACUGCGGGGUGGGUGGGGCUUCGGGAGUGGGCGUGGCUUUGACUCGGGGCGUGGCCAAUCAGUGGGGAGGCGCUCUGGGUAUGGGCGGGGCUGUAAGUUGGGCGUGGCCACGUGUGGGCGGGGCUAACCGUAACCCCUCCCGCCAUUGGGUUCUGUGGGGAAGGGGGCGGGGCCUGUGGGCGACCACGCCCCCUCAUUGGGACCACACACGGGGGCUGUCAUUAAAGGGGUAACAGUGUUUAUUAUUGGCUCUUAAUUAGCACUAAUUGGGUGUGGGGGG